AUGGAAUCAUCACUUAACUUCCCUUGCAGGGUAUUUAAUACAGAAGAACCAGCUCCUGUGCCUAUCAAAAAUUCCAGUUUUCCACUUCCCAGUGUGGCUGUUACCACAGGCUCUGCUGGGGAUGAAACCUCUGCUCCCCUCCACAGGUACCCAGCCAUUGGCAUGAGGGGGUUUGGAGAAGUCCUGGGUUUUAGGCAGAUGAGAUAUAACCGGGACAAGCCCCCACAGUGCUCUCACCCUGGUGCUUGCACCCCGGUGCUCACACCCCCAGCGUGGAGCUGCUCAUUCCCAGCCUUGUCCAGGCAGAUGAGAUAUAACCGGGACAAGCCCCCACAGUGCUCUCACCCUGGUGCUUGCACCCCGGUGCUCACACCCCCAGCGUGGAGCUGCUCAUUCCCAGCCUUGUCCAGAGUGAACCAAGAGAAAAGGACAAGGGAGACGAGAAAGAAGGACAUGAUUCCGUUACUUGUAGGUGCAGUAGCUGCAGCAACUGCCUGUUUGGCUAGCGAAAUUAUGCUGCUCAAAUUAAGAAGGAAGAAACUAGAAAGUGCAUGGGCCCGGGAAUCCAUGUUGAAGAAGAAUAACCAGAACCUGUCCCACAGAGUUGAAACUCUGGAAAAAAAUUUCCAAGAAGGCCUGGAGAGCAUUAAGAAUGAGCUUAAGGAUGUCAGAGCGGAGCUGCAGAAGAAUCAAGGAAAUAAGGAGGAGGAUAUUGCAUAUCCUCUGGAAUCCUUCUUGAAGAAGAAAAACCAGGAGCUGUCCCACAAAGUUGCAUCUCUAGAAAAAGAAUCCCAGGAGGGUCUGGAAGCCAUAAAUCAUGAGCUUAAGGAUAUCAGAGCGGAGCUGGAGAAGAACCAAAGAAAGAAGGAAGAGGAUAUUGUAUUGGCCCUGAAAUCCUUCUUGAGGAAGAAAGACCGGCAGCUCUCCCAUAGAUUUGAAACUCUUGAAAAAGAUUUCCUUGAAGGUCUGGAGACCAUAAAGCAUGAGCUUAACAAUGUCAGAGCAGAACUGAAGAAGAAUCAAGGCAAUAAGGAAGAGGAAAGUGCAGAGGACCUGGAAUUUAAGCUGAACAAGAAUAUCCUGCUACUCUCCCAUAGAAUUAAAACUCUGGCAGAAGAUUGA
rnacentral:lncRNA from 1 species